rnacentral:rRNA from 1 species
GUUGUAUGGUUAAGUGACUAAGCGUAUGUGGUGGAUGCCUUGGCAGUUAGAGGCGAUGAAGGACGUGUUAAUCUGCG